AAUCCGGAGACAGUGCUAAUUAAAAAAUGCAUCCAAGGACUGGGGGAUACUGACAACGGCAUUUACUGGCAGGACAAGGGGGAAUGGCUUCAAACUGAAAGUAGGUUUAGAUUAGGUAUUAGGAAGAAAUUCUUUACUGUGAGGGGAGGUGAGGCACUGGAACAGGUUGCCGCAUCCCUGGAAGUGUUCAAGGCCGGGCUGGACGGGGCUCUGAACAGCCUGGUCUAGUGGGAGGUGUUCUUGCCCAUGGCACGGAGUUGGAACGGGAUGAUACUUAAGCUUCCCCCCGGGCGGCGAUAUCCCGGCGGCUCAGCCCGCUCGAACCGCCGUGCGUGCGGAUGGGCUGGCCCAGGCUCGUCCCCUGGCAUUUCCCUCUCCGCCUGCCAAAAACGAGGAGAGAAAGCGGCGCCGCAUGCUGUGGGGCCGGCAGGAACAAAAUGACCUCGGUGGCGGCCGGGGCUGUGUCAGUGACACCUCACAGCUGCAGCAACAGCGAAACGCAAAGUGAAAAGUCGACUGAGAGGGGACCUCAUCAAUGUGUAUAAAUAUCUAAAGAGGCGGUGCCAAGAGGAUGGAGCCAGGCUCUUCUCCGUGGUGCCAGUCAAUAGGACAAGAGGCAACGGGCAGGAACUGAUGCACAGGAAGUUCCACCUGAAUAUGCGGAAGAACUUUACUGUGCGAGAGAACAGGCACUGGAACAGUUUGGCCAGAGAAGCUGUGGAGUUUCCCUCACUGGAAAUAUUCCAGAAUUGUCUGGGCGCAAUUCUGUGCAAUGUGUUUUGGGAUGACCGUGCUUGAUCACAGAAGUUGGACCAGAUGACCCACUGUGGUCCUUUCCAACCUGACCCCUUCUGUGAUUCUGAGUCUCCCCAAGUCCCUGGUGGUGUUGCAGCAGUGUGUCCUCGCAGCAGCAUUUCCUUAGCCAGCAUUUCCUGCAGGCCCCUUCUCACAAGUAUGUUUGGAAAUGCCUCUAAAAUAGGUUUGGUGCUGUACUGGAAGUGAUCUUCUCUAACACGACCUUUGGAAACUUAAAAGAUGCAAAGAUACAUUCUGGGGUUACUGAGGAAUUCCUGCUGCUCAGCUGUGUGUUAGGUUGUUUCAGUGUCUGAGCCUGUGUCUACAUUGGCAAAUAAGAGAAGUUCUGAACAAGAGAUGGGGAACUGAGGAUCCAACAUCCACACCACUGAUGUGUCAGUCCAGACCAGCUUUAGUCUAGUCCUGUGGAUGCAGUGACUGCUAGGGUUGGAAGAUGUUGUGUAUGUUCUGGGGAUGUAACUGUCAGUUUGGUUUCCUUCAAAAGGAAUCCAUAAUGAACACUCCAAGACCCUGCAUGACAAGUGGGAGUGAUCAGAAGAUGAAUGCCUCAUGCACACUUAGUGCGCUCCAUCUGUUAGCACUAGGCUAGGGCUAACCUGAAGUAGGUCCUACCUGAAAUGCAUAUAGUAUGUGUGUCAGGAUCUCAAUAUUCAGCAGCUUUGCUGUGCAUAUCUUCUCCUAGCAGUAUGUUCUACUUGCCAAUAUAGACACAGUCUCAGUUUAUUUGAUCAUGAAUUCACACAGUGAUGUGUAUACACCCCUGUAUCAGAACGACUGGAGAACAGCGUGAUGAACCUCAUCCAAUAACCGUAGAAGAUGGUAGAAGAAAAGGUUUUGAAUGGUAGUAGGUGACAAGGUUUCUCUCAGAGAUCUCUGAUUUCCUGUACAGUUUUCUGGUUACAGUUUGUUGAUCUAACAAGACCACACAAGUAUUUUA